rnacentral:rRNA from 1 species
UACGAAGGGGGCUAGCGUUGUUCGGAAUCACUGGGCGUACAGCGCACGCAGGCGGUUCGAUAAGUCGGGGGUGAAAGCCCGGGGCUCAACCUCGGAAUUGCCUUCGAUACUGUUGGUCUCGAGUCCGGGAGAGGUGAGUGGAUUUCCGAGUGUAGAGGUGAAAUUCGUAGAUAUUAGGAAGAACACCAGUGGCGAAGGCGGCUCACUGGCCCGGUACUGACGCUCAGGUGCGAAAGCGUGGGGAACAAACAGG